UACGUAGGGGGGCAAGCGUUGUCCGGAAUCAUUGGGCGUAAAGCGCGUGUAGGCGGCCCGGUAAGUCCGCUGUGAAAGUCGGGGGGCUCAACCCUCGAAUGCCGGUGGAUACUGUCGGGCUAGAGUGCGGAAGAGGCGAGUGGAAUUCCUGGUGUAGCGGUGAAAUGACGCAGAUAUCAGGAGGAACACCAAUUGCGAAGGCAGCAGACUAGGGUGCAACUGACGCUGAGGCACGAAAAGUGCGGGGGAUCAAAACAGG
rnacentral:rRNA from 1 species